UACUCCAGAGGGUGUCGAUCACA
rnacentral:miRNA from 1 species